UACGUAGGGCGCAAGCGUUGUCCGGAAUUAUUGGGCGUAAAGAGCUUGUAGGCGGUUUGUCGCGUCUGCUGUGAAAUUUCGGGGCUCAACCCCGAACUUGCAGUGGGUACGGGCAGACUAGAGUGUGGUAGGGGAGACUGGAAUUCCUGGUGUAGCGGUGAAAUGCGCAGAUAUCAGGAGGAACACCGAUGGCGAAGGCAGGUCUCUGGGCCACUACUGACGCUGAGGAGCGAAAGCGUGGGUAGCAAACAGG
rnacentral:rRNA from 1 species